UACAGAGGUGGCAAGCGUUGUUCGGAAUUACUGGGCGUAAAGGGCCAGUAGGCGGCCAACUAAGUCCGACGUGAAAUCCCAAGGCUUAACCUUGGAACUGCGUCGGAUACUGGAUGGCUUGAAUUCGGGAGAGGGAUGCAGAAUUCCAGGUGUAGCGGUGAAAUGCGUAGAUAUCUGGAGGAACACCGGUGGCGAAGGCGGCAUCCUGGACCGACACUGACGCUGAGGAGCGAAAGCCAGGGGAGCAAACGGG
rnacentral:rRNA from 1 species